CAAUUGUCUAAUUAAUAAAUAAAACAAUAAAUGUAAAUAUAUAUCUACAUAUAUUUGCAUUCAUGCGGGAGUUUGAUUGUGCAUUUUUAAGUAUGUGUCAAAUCCAAAACUAAUUUUGAAUUCUAUUCGAAUUUGGAAUUGUAAGUUAAGAAAAUGAUAAAAAUAUAGAUGAAGAGAGAACAAACCGGUUUGACCCAAUCUCACUCACGUGGCCUACAUUCUCUUCUCUCUCCCCAUAACCCGUCUUGUUUCUUUCCAUUUAUAAUUCUUGUACAAACUACUGGUAACUGCCGGGGACGUAUGUUCCUUCCAUGUCAGACACCGACAUGUGGGGCACCCUGCAUACGAGCACGAACGCUGAACCAUCCCAGAAAAAUCGUCGGUGCCUGUAACAACCGCGUAACAACCGGGCAUGAGCCGACAGAUGGCGUUACAGGUUUAUAAAACCCGAUCCCCAUGUGCCUUCCGCCAUAACCAGGCUUGGGAGCUAGCGCAACCUUGCAUGGAUGAUUACGCUGAAGCACAGCGACGAGUAGGAGAGAGAGAAUAGAGCCGCUACGACCACGCCUCGCGUUCACCAUCGCCCAGCCUCUCGAUCGCUGGGGAAUCGGGCGAGAUCACCAAGUCGUGCAGAACGUGCGUGUGGUCAGCAGAGCAAGGAAGUUGGCGGGGGAGACGAAUUGCUUGCCGGUGCUUGGCCGAAUCCUCACCGGGAAUCCUCGGGCGGCACUGCAGCGUCGACCGGCCGCAUCGACGUCUUCUCGAGUGGUGAGACCCUACUAAAUUACUCGCCGUAGCAUCCGCAUAGAUGAUCCCCAUUCAAUUUCCGAAUUUAGACAUAGAAAUCGGCAGGGUUGGUUCGCCACCAAUGGCGACGUCGUGCCUUCGUGUUCUGUCGCCGGUCGGGCGCCGUGGUGAGAGAGAGAGAGGAUUGGGGGGGAGAAAAAUGAAGGGCUUGGGCUGUUGGAUCAUACACGGACGGCGCCGAUCUAACCGCGCAUACCCCUUCGCUCAAUAGGAUUUGGGCCGUAGAUCUGAGAUCAAGCGAUCAGGAUUUGAUCAUAGUCAUUCUUAAUCUGGACUGACGAUCUUUAAUCCGGUGGUCCUCAUGGCUGACCGGAUCAUUUUUAAUGAAGUCUAAUCCUGGCCGCGGAAUUUAGAUCUGACGGCUGAAGUCAGCCCGUACCCCUUCGGCCGGGGAUAAUUGCACGUGAGCCCUCAUAAAACUAUCAAAUAAACCCGUCGUCCACUCACGUGGAAAACUAAUUAAAUCUAGGUCCUGAGUUUCACAGUUUAGACCCUGUGUUUUCUAGAAAUUGUGUUCGCAGGCCAGAAUUAAUAGGGAUAUUCAUAAUUAAAUCAGAAAAUGAUUUUUUUAUAAAAAUAAAUCUAGGAACUUGUUUAAUUCAUAGUUAAUUCAUUUUAGCUCCAGAUUGAGUUAUUCCAGUUGCAAUAAUUUUGUUUUAAUAUUAUCUAUCAUCUAGUGCUUCUGUUUAGCCAUAAAACUUGAAUUAAAAAUGUUCAUUUGAAUUAAUCUAUUCUAGGUGCUUAACAACUCCAGAAAUUCAUAACUUGUUAACCGUAACUUCGAAUUUAGUAAUUCUUGUUCCUAUGAUCUCGUUAUGCAGCUUAGAAUAUUAUUAUGUAGUUUGAUCUUAUAUUUGGUGUGAUGUUAAUUUUGCAUAUACAUGUUUGUCUGUAUUGCUACGUUUAGCAGUGAGGACACGAGUUACCUGAAGAUCAUCUUGGUACCUGGAAUCUCAAGUCCCAGGCAAGUUGUGCCCUUGAUCACUUCUUUUUACCCAGUCAUGUUCUGAUUAAUCAUAAUGAUCUGCAUAGGUUAAUUUUGAUGGGACCCAAUAGGUUACCCUAGUUUGAUUAUCUUUAUACCUUGAUUACCACUGACUUUUUGGGUAGCACCUGCUAUUGCUUUAUGUGGUUUUGGGUAUGAAGAUUACAUUAUUCAUGAUUACACUUUUGUUAUUAGUUGUUAUUUACUAUUCAUGAUAAGAUCAUUAUGUUAAUUGGAACAUGGAGAACCACCCGGGAAAACAGUGCUACCACAAGUGUUUAUGGACGCCCUUGGCUGAUUAACUAGGAAAGCUAGUGGAGGUCUUCCUUACCCGAAAGGGGCAAGGGCAGUAGGGGAGUGGUCACUGUAGGGAGGUCCUUGGUUGAUUUUGCUGCGAUGGCGGUCAGGCAAGAACCCUGCAUUGGAGCUUCCUAUAAACUGUAGCGGGAUUUCUGAAGCUAGUGGAACUUUGUAAAGGCCUCGUAGUGUUACCCUGCCUCGCCUCCUCGGUAGAGGUGUAUGGGAUUGGCCGUCUCUUGGCAGAUGGGUAACAUGACUUGUGGGUAAAGAUGUGCAACCUCUGCAGAGUGUAAAACUGGUAUACUAGCCGUGCUCACGGUCAUGAGCGGCUCGGACACUCACAUGAUUAAAUUAUGGAACUUAAACUCAAUUUGUCAUAUGCAUUGCAUCGCAGGUGAGGUUGUUACUUUUGUUCUACUAAAUUGGGCUGGUAUUUACUUAUACUUAGUAAUUGCUAAUAAAAUUUUGACCAACUUUAAAAGCAAUGCUCAGCUCUAACCAUCAUCUUUGGUAAGCCUUACACUUCACGUGAGCUCCCACCUUUGGCGAGUUCAUGCACAUUAUUCCCCACAACUUGUUGAGCGAUGAACGUAUGUGAGCUCACUCUUGCUGUCUCACACCCCCCCCACAGGUCAAGAAUAGGUACCAUAGGAUGAGGCGCUUGGAGGAUGCUGUGACGAGUUCGUGAGAGGUCUAGGUCGUCGUCUCCCAGUCAACUUUGGGUUGCCGGACCGUUGUCUCCAUAUAAUGUAUUUAUUUAUUUAUUUUGUACAAAACUCCAAUUAUAUAGUAAAGAUGUGACAUUCGAUCAUGUGCCAUGAUUCAUCAUAUGUGUGAGACUUGGUCCUAGCACACCUGGUGAUUAUGUUCGCGCCCGGGUCUUGGUGCCCCGAAACCCGGGUGUGACAGAAGUGGUAUCAGAGGAAUGUUGACUGUAGGACGUAACCUAGAUAGAACUGGACAACCAUUGUCUACUUACCUUUGCUACUCUGAUUCUUUUCUAAACUUAUCUUAAUCUUUUCUCAUCCAUUUCUGCUUUACUCUGAUUAUUCUUACCUUUUUCUUAUAAAGACAAAUGUGGAUUUCACACUCUGAAAUCCUGUACCUAAAGUGACUUUUAGGAAUAGGAGACUUAAUCUUAGGAACAAAAAAACAAAACUAUUUUUUUAUCUAUACGCUUGAAUGUUUGUUCUUAUGAUAUUUGUCUGAUUUGGAUCUUUGAUUGAGUGUGAUGGGUUGUGGAGUAAUGUCCACAAUUACAUCUGCAUAUACAUAUAGGGAAAAAUGCUUAUAAAAAUAACUAGAUAAACUAGAUUAUCCCUCAUUAAAGGAUCUAGCCAAACAAUAUCCAUCUCAUCUUAAAAGAUUCUAUCCUACACUCGUAGAUCCAUCUUAUCUUAAGAAGAUACUCAUCUUAUCUUGAAAAGAUUUUAUGUCAUGCUAAUAGAUCUAACUGAUCUCAAAUGAUUCUAUCUUAUCUUUAUGGAUCCAUCUUAUCCUAACAAGCAUACUUAUCCACCCUAGUUUAACAACCAUGAUCUAAUGCAAAUUAAUUAGAUCUUAUCUAGUCAAACUAGUCAUACCAAUCUAAUCUAGAUCCCAUCUAAUCUAAUAUGAUCUAAUCUAAUGUGGUCUAUUUAAACAGAUUAGUGAUACUGGUAGAAGAGAUUAAACCCUACUAGCCAGGUAUUAACUUAACUUCGCACAUUAGACCAACUCAACCAUGGGCAUAAGAUCUAACCUAGCCAAUAGAGUCUUGAUGGAUUGCAUAAUCUAUCUAUCUCCACCUAACCUCAAACAAACUUUUGACCUACAUCAAUCUCACCCAUAUCUAUCUUAACCAUACCCUGGUAACUCCGAUGAUAAACGCUGACCCCAACUCAAUGAGACCAAGACCAGAAAAGAACAAGAUCAACCUCGUCAAGGAAGGAGAGAAGUCAAACUCGAUCUUCAGAUGCAUUACCACCCAACAAGGAGUCCUUUCUCACCAUAAACUGUCUUACCCCUAGCUAUUGUUUCCCUAACCUAUCCAUCUCUUAUAUCCUACAUAAUAGGUGGCUAGAAACCCAUGCUUUCCUAAAUACCUAUUUAUUUGUAUAAAAAAAACUUUUCAAUAUUGAACUAAAAGACAAUUACAAGCAAAACUUUCUACACCUCUUUCUUACAAAUCUCGAGGACGAGAUUUUUGUUAAGGGGGGUAGGAUUUGUAAAGCCCUAAAAUUGCGUAGGAUAAAAAAUGAUAAAAUAAUACAUACAUAUAUAAAAUUGUUUUGGGAACACAGAACCUUGGGAGACUAUCAAUUUAUUUAUCAAUAGGUUAUACCCUUCAUGAACAAUAUAAAUAGAAACCAUCUUUUAAUCAAGCUAAAAGUAAUUAAUGAUAAAGUUUGGACAUUACUUCCUCUAAAAUAAGUAGUAAAUAUGCACUUUUGAAUCGACCUUUAAUUUUACAACACCUUCAAAUAAUAUUUUUCUAAAAGAAAGAUAGCGUGUGUACUUCAUAUUUGAAACAAUUGUCUAAUUAAUAAAUAAAACAAUAAAUGUAAAUAUAUAUCUACAUAUAUUUGCAUUCAUGCGGGAGUUUGAUUGUGCAUUUUUAAGUAUGUGUCAAAUCCAAAACUAAUUUUGAAUUCUAUUCGAAUUUGGAAUUGUAAGUUAAGAAAAUGAUAAAAAUAUAGAUGAAGAGAGAACAAACCGGUUUGACCCAAUCUCACUCACGUGGCCUACAUUCUCUUCUCUCUCCCCAUAACCCGUCUUGUUUCUUUCCAUUUAUAAUUCUUGUACAAACUACUGGUAACAGCCGGGGGACGUAUGUUCCUUCCAUGUCAGACACCGACACGUGGGGCACCCUGCAUACGAGCACGAACGCUGAACCAUCCCAGAAAAAUCGUCGGUGCCUGUAACAACCGCGUAACAACCGGGCAUGAGCCGACAGAUGGCGUUACAGGUUUAUAAAACCCGAUUCCCAUGUGCCUUCCGCCAUAACCAGGCUUGGGAGCUAGCGCAACCUUGCAUGGAUGAUUACGCUGAAGCACAGCGACGAGUAGGAGAGAGAGAAUAGAGCCGCUGCGACCACGCCUCGCGUUCACCAUCUCCCAGCCUCUCGAUCGCUGGGGAAUUGGGCGAGAUCACCAAGUCGUGCAGAUCGUGCGUGUGGUCAGCAGAGCAAGGAAGUUGGCGGGGGAGACGAAUUGCUUGCCGGUGCUUGGCCGAAUCCUCACCGGGAAUCCUCGGGCGGCACUGCAGCGUCGACCGGCCGCAUCGACGUCUUUUCGAGUGGUGAGACCCUACUAAAUUACUCGCCGUAGCAUCCGCAUAGAUGAUCCCCAUUCAAUUUCCGAAUUUAGACCUAGAAAUCGGCAGGGUUGGUUCGCCACCAAUGGCGACGUCGUGCCUUAGCGUUCUGUCGCCGGUCGGGCACCGUGGUGAGAGAGAGAGGAUUGGGGGGGAGAAAAAUGAAGGGCUUGGGCUGUUGGAUCAUACACGGACGGCGCCGAUCUAACCACGCAUACCCCUUCGCUCAAUAGGAUUUGGGCCGUAGAUCUGAGAUCAAGCGAUCAGGAUUUGAUCAUAGUCAUUCUUAAUCUGGACUGACGAUCUUUAAUCCGGUGGUCCUCAUGGCUUACCGGUUCAUUUUUAAUGAAGUCUAAUCCUGGCCGUGGAAUUUAGAUCUGACGGCUGAAGUCAGCCCGUACCCCUUCGGCCGGGGAUAAUUGCAUGUGAGCCCUCAUAAAACUAUCAAAUAAACCCGUCGUCCACUCACGUGGAAAACUAAUUAAAUCUAGGUCCUGAGUUUCACAGUUUAGACCCUGUGUUUUCUAGAAAUUGUGUUCGCAGGCCAGAAUUAAUAGGGAUAUUCAUAAUUAAAUCAGAAAAUGAUUUUUUUUAUAAAAAUAAAUCUAGGAACUUGUUUAAUUCAUAGUUAAUUCAUUUUAGCUCCAGAUUGAGUUAUUCCAGUUGCAAUAAUUUUGUUUUAAUAUUAUCUUUCAUCUAGUGCUUCUGUUUAGCCAUAAAACUUGAAUUAAAAAUGUUCAUUUGAAUUAAUCUAUUCUAGGUGCUUAACAACUCCAGAAAUUCAUAACUUGUUAACCGUAACUCCGAAUUUAGUAAUUCUUGUUCUUAUGAUCUCGUUACGCAGCUUAGAAUAUUAUUAUGUAGUUUGAUCUUAUAUUUGGUGUGAUGUUAAUUUUGCAUAUACAUGUUUGUCUGUAUUGCUACGUUUAGCAAUGAGGACACAAGUUACCUGAAGAUCAUCCUGGUACCUGGAAUCUCAUGUCCCAGGCAAGUUGUGCCCUUGAUCACUUCUUUUUACCCAGUCAUGUUCUGAUUAAUCAUAAUGAUCUGCAUAGGUUAAUUUUGAUGGGACCCAAUAGGUUACCCUAGUUUGAUUAUCUUUAUACCUUGAUUACCACUGGACUUUUUGGGUAGUACCUGCUAUUGCUUUAUGUGGUUUUGGGUAUGAAGAUUACAUUAUUCAUGAUUACACUUUUGUUAUUAGUUGUUAUUUACUAUUCAUGAUAAGAUCAUUAUGUUAAUUGGAACAUGGAGAACCACCCGGGAAAACAGUGCUACCACAAGGGUUUAUGGACGCCCUUGGCUGAUUAACUAGGAAAGCUAGUGGAGGUCUACCUUACCCGAAAGGGGCAAGGGCAGUAGGGGAGUGGUCAGUGUAGGAAGGUCCUUAGUUGAUUUUGCUGCGAUGGCGGUCAGGCAAGAACCCUGCAUUGGAGCUUCCUAUAAACUGUAGCGGGAUUUCUGAAGCUAGUGGACCUUUGUAAAGGCCUCGUAGUGUUACCCUGCCUCGCCUCCUCGGUAGAGGUGUAUGGGAUUGGCCGUCUCUUGGCAGAUGGGUAACAUGACUUGUGGGUAAAGAUGCGCAACCUCUGCAGAGUGUAAAACUGGUAUACUAGCCGUGCUCACGGUCAUGAGCGGCUCGGACACUCACAUGAUUAAAUUAUGGAACUUAAACUCAAUUUGUCAUAUGCAUUGCAUCGCAGGUGAGGUUGUUACUUUUAUUCUACUAAAUUGGGCUGGUAUUUACUUAUACUUAGUAAUUGCUAAUAAAAUUUUGACCAACUUUAAAAGCAAUGCUUAGCUCUAACCAUCCUCUUUGGUAAGCCUUACACUUCACGUGAGCUCCCACCUUUGGCGAGUUCAUGCACAUUAUUCCCCACAACUUGUUGAGCGAUGAACGUAUGUGAGCUCACUCUUGCUGUCUCACACCCCCCCCACAGGUCAAGAACAGGUACCACAGGAUGAGGCGCUUGGAGGAUGCUGUGACAAGUUCGUGAGAGGUCUAGGUCGUCGUCUCCCAGUCAACUUUGGGUUGCUGGACCGUUGUCUCCAUAUAAUGUAUUUAUUUAUUUAUUUUGUACAAAACUCCGAUUAUAUAGUAAAGAUGUGACAUUCGAUCAUGUGCCAUGAUUCAUCAUAUGUGUGAGACUUGGUCCCAGCACACCUGGUGAUUAUGUUCGCGCACGAGUCUUGGUGCCCCGAAACCCGGGUGUAACAAUUACAUAGACGUGGUUGAAAUGUUUCGGUGGUAGGUCGUAGUAUGGUUGUGUUCAUGAUUUUGAGUUAGAGAUUGGUGGUUGACGAUUCGUAUAAAUUGGUUGAUGAUGUGCAUGUGUGAUUAUAUGUGUAAAAAAAUUGUAUUGGUAUGGAUGGAAGUUUGUAGUGAAAGAAAAUGAGUAAGGAACUGGGCUCGGAUGUUUUUAAGUUUUGG
rnacentral:lncRNA from 1 species